AAACCAUAUGAUGAAUCUGGAUUUUCAACUCACGACGGUCGUCUGAGUUUCACUUGAUGUAUUGAUCCUAUUUUUCUGAUGGUU